GACUCCAAAGUUUUGAAAUAUACCAAUCCAAUAGUAACAUCAUAGCCGGCAAGGCGAUUAAGCUCACACAAGCAUACAUAAGCAUAAUCAAUAUUCACUCACAAGCAUGCAUCAUGCAACAACUAGUCAAAUUAAAUCUGGAUUGUGGAACUGCAAUUAAUUACAUGCCGAAUGUCUUUUUCAAAUUAUGCCACCAUCCCCCAAACUUAUACAAGACAUUGUCCUCAAUGCGAAAAUCAAAGUUUAGAUGGCAGAAUUUAAAGAAAAUGACUACAAAUGAGGCAAACGAUACUCCCUUGAUCAAUACGGAGGUUGCGAUGGGAAGCUAGAACCUGCAGUACCAUCAGCUGGAGGUUGAGGUAGGCGCGCCAAGAUCUCCCUCAUCAGUGCUGACUGCUGUGUCAUUUCAUC
rnacentral:lncRNA from 1 species